AACCUUAUGGACCUGCGGGCGUAUACCUGCGGAAGGAUCAUUACCUAGAGUUUGUAGACUUCGGUCUGCUACCUCUUACCCAUGUCUUUUGAGUACCUUCGUUUCCUCGGCGGGUCCGCCCGCCGGUUGGACAACAUUCAAACCCUUUGCAGUUGCAAUCAGCGUCUGAAAAAACAUAAUAGUUACAACUUUUAACAAUGGAUCU
rnacentral:misc_RNA from 1 species